rnacentral:pre_miRNA from 1 species
AUACUACUCCCUCCGUCCGGAAAUACUUGUCCGAGGAAUGGAUGUAUCUAGAUGUAUUUUAGUUUUAUAUACAUCCAUUUGUAUCCAUUUCUACGACAAGUAUUUCCGGACGGAGAGAGUACUGU